AUGCUCGCUCUGGCAGCACAUAUACUAAAAUUGGAAUGAUACAGAGAAGAUUAGCAUGGCCCCUGCGCAAGGAUGACACAAAAGUGGACCAUCCAUCGCUUCU